ACUCCCUCUGUCACAUAGAAACUUAAUCUAGGAGAAGAUGUGACCUCUCCUAAUACAACGAAUCUGGACAUAAGAAUAUCCGGAUUCAUUGUACUAGGAGGGGUCACAUCCUCUCCUAGGUUAAUUUUUUGUAGGAUGGAGGGAGU
rnacentral:pre_miRNA from 1 species